AAGCGGAGGAGCAUAUCAAUAGC
rnacentral:rRNA from 1 species